ACGUAUAUCCAGUAUAUCCACGUUUGCCGAUGUUGAUUUUUUUCGUUUUUCGACGUUUUAUCGGACGGACAAUUGCAAAUGUAGAGAGAUAUGAUCGUGGACAACGUGCAAUAACAAUGUGUUAGCCGAGAGCGAGGAAUGCUGACGACGCAUUGACACGUCCGAUCUGCUGCUCAAGAACGUCGGAUAACAUAGAAAGUGAGAUCAUGUCGGAGACUAUGUCCGAGUCGGCCCGCGUGCAGGACGUUACCACGAAGGAGGUGAGCAACGUCUGGGAGGACCUGGGCUCGCCGCGCUGCAUAGUCGCACCGAUGGUGGACGCGAGCGAACUGCCGUGGAGACUGCUCAGCAGGCGACACGGCGCCGAGCUCUGUUACACACCGAUGUUGCAUUCCUCCGUGUUCUGUCGGGACCCCAAGUACAGGCGUGAGGCUCUCACUAGCACCAGCGAGGAUCGUCCGUUGAUCGUGCAGUUCUGCGGUAGUGAUCCGGAAGUGUUAUUGGAAGCUGCACGCUUGGCCGAGCCAUAUUGCGAUGCGGUGGACAUCAAUAUCGGUUGUCCACAGGCGAUCGCGAAGCGUGGACAUUACGGAGCCUUCUUGCAAGACGAUUGGGAUUUGUUGCAGAAGAUCGUGUCUACCUUGAAGCGUGGACUACGCAUACCUGUCACGUGCAAAUUACGAGUGUUUCCAGAAGUCGGUCGUACUGUGGAGUACGCCCGUAUGCUGGAAAAUGCUGGUGCUAGUUUACUUACCGUUCACGGACGUACGAGGGAGCAAAAAGGUCCUUUAACCGGAUUAGCGUCUUGGGAACACAUUAAAGCCGUCAAAGCUGCUGUGAAAAUACCUGUGAUCGCCAACGGUAAUAUACAGUGCAUGCAAGACCUGCAACGGUGUAUCAAAGAGACCCAAGUGCAGGGUGUGAUGUCGGCGGAGGGAAAUCUUUACAAUCCGUACAUAUUCGAGUCAUGUUACCCCGCUUGUUGGGAACCCGCCUUAGAGUAUCUGGAUCUCGUGGAGCAAUAUCCAGCACCGGCCUCGUACAUCCGCGGUCAUUUAUUUAAGAUGUUUCAUCACGUACUUUGUUUAGCAGAAAAUCAAGAGGAGAGAGAGAAUUUGGCCACGAACUCCACUAUGGAAGCUUUCCGGGCUGUCACAUGCGCUUUGAGGGAUCGUUACUUACCGUAUCAUGAGGGUCGCUUGAUGUGGCGAAAGGAGCAAAUCGAUUAUAAUUUAAAGUUACCACCAUGGUUGUGCCAACCUUAUGUACGUGAGCCGCCGAAUGAGCAUAUGCACAACGUAGAGGUUCACCUCGGAAAAGGAAAUAUGAAGACGAAGAUGGAAACGAAAUCUCGCGAAAACGCUCGAAGAAACUUAAGCGAAUAGCGCGACGGCCAAACAAAGCAACCUCAGCUCCUAAGAGAAGUUCGGACCGAUGUCACGACUGUCCAAAUCCUCUGGGUUUCAAAUGUGAAUAUAAGCUAUGUCGGCAAUGCUGUAGGACCAAAUGCUACGUAGAAAAUUUAGAUUGCACUGGCCACAGAAAUCUAACUAAAACCAGGAGACAGAUAGCGAAAGAGUACGAGGCAAAGCGCAAGGACAUUCAAAACGUGAUAUGACACUAUGUUAAAAUAUUUUAAAUAAAACUGU
rnacentral:misc_RNA from 1 species